UACGGGGGGAGCAAGCGUUGUUCGGAUUCACUGGGCGUAAAGGGUGCGUAGGCGGUCGGGUAAGUCUGGCGUGAAAUCUCCAAGCCUAACUUGGAAACUGCGUUGGAUACUAUCCGGCUCGAGGAAUGGAGGGGAGACUGGAAUACUUGGUGUAGCAGUGAAAUGCGUAGAUAUCAAGUGGAACACCAGUGGCGAAGGCGAGUCUCUGGACAUUUCCUGACGCUGAGGCACGAAAGCCAGGGGAGCAAACGGG
rnacentral:rRNA from 1 species